rnacentral:rRNA from 1 species
UACGUAGGGGGCAAGCGUUGUCCGGAAUCAUUGGGCGUAAAGAGCGUGUAGGCGGUUCGGUAAGUCUGCCGUGAAAACCUGAGGCUCAACCUCGGGCGUGCGGUGGAUACUGCCGGGCUAGAGGACGGUAGAGGCGAGUGGAAUUCCUGGUGUAGCGGUGGAAUGCGCAGAUAUCAGGAGGAACACCGAUGGCGAAGGCAGCUCGCUGGGACGGUACUGACGCUGAGGCGCGAAAGCGUGGGGAGCGAACAGG